CCUACGGGUGACAGCAGUGAGGAAUAUUGGUCAAUGGCCGUAAGCCUGAACCAGCCAAGUCGCGUGAGGGAUGAAGGUUCUAUGGGUCGUAAACCUCUUUUAUAAGGGAAUAAAGAGUGGGACGUGUCCUGUUUUGUAUGUACCUUAUGAAUAAGGAUCGGCUAACUCCGUGCCAGCAGCCGCGGUAAUACGGAGGAUCCGAGCGUUAUCCGGAUUUAUUGGGUUUAAAGGGUGCGUAGGCGGCAUUUUAAGUCAGCGGUGAAAGUCUGUGGCUCAACCAUAGAAUUGCCGUUGAAACUGGGAGGCUUGAGUGUGUGAGAGGUAGGCGGAAUGCGUGGUGUAGCGGUGAAAUGCUUAGAUAUCACGCAGAACUCCGAUUGCGAAGGCAGCUCACUGGAGUGCAACUGACACUGAGGCACGAAAGUGUGGGUAUCGAACAGGAUUAGAUACCCCAGUAGUC
rnacentral:rRNA from 1 species